CUCCUCCUAAAGAGUAACGGAGGAGCACGAAGGUUGGCUAAUCCUGGUCGGACAUCAGGAGGUUAGUGCAAUGGCAUAAGCCAGCUUGACUGCGAGCGUGACGGCGCGAGCAGGUGCGAAAGCAGGUCAUAGUGAUCCGGUGGUUCUGAAUGGAAGGGCCAUCGCUCAACGGAUAAAAGGUACUCCGGGGAUAACAGGCUGAUACCGCCCAAGAGUUCAUAUCGACGGCGGUGUUUGGCACCUCGAUGUCGGCUCAUCACAUCCUGGGGCUGAAGUAGGUCCCAAGGGUAUGGCUGUUCGCCAUUUAAAGUGGUACGCGAGCUGGGUUUAGAACGUCGUGAGACAGUUCGGUCCCUAUCUGCCGUGGGCGCUGGAGAACUGAGGGGGGCUGCUCCUAGUACGAGAGGACCGGAGUGGACGCAUCACUGGUGUUCGGGUUGUCAUGCCAAUGGCACUGCCCGGUAGCUAAAUGCGGAAGAGAUAAGUGCUGAAAGCAUCUAAGCACGAAACUUGCCCCGAGAUGAGUUCUCCCUGACUCCUUGAGAGUCCUGAAGGAACGUUGAAGACGACGACGUUGAUAGGCCGGGUGUGUAAGCGCAGCGAUGCGUUGAGCUAACCGGUACUAAUGAACCGUGAGGCUUAACCUUACAACGCCGAAG
rnacentral:rRNA from 1 species